rnacentral:tRNA from 1 species
GGGACAAUAGUUUAAUGGAUAAAACAGUAACUCGUUAAGUUACAGUUGUAGGUUCGAGUCCUACUAGUGCCCA